rnacentral:rRNA from 1 species
GACGAACGCUGGCGGCGUGCUUAACACAUGCAAGUCGAACGGAAAGGCCCUGCUUUUGUGGUGUGCUCGAGUGGCGAACGGGUGAGUAACACGUGAGUAACCUGCCCUUGACUUUGGGAUAACUUCAGGAAACUGGGGCUAAUACCGGAUAGGAGCUCCUGCUGCAUGGUGGGGGUUGGAAAGUUUCGGCGGUUGGGGAUGGACUCGCGGCUUAUCAGCUUGUUGGUGGGGUAGUGGCUUACCAAGGCUUUGACGGGUAGCCGGCCUGAGAGGGUGACCGGCCACAUUGGGACUGAGAUACGGUCCAGACUCCUACGGGAGGCAGCAGUGGGGAAUAUUGCACAAUGGGCGGAAGCCUGAUGCAGCAACGCCGCGUGCGGGAUGACGGCCUUCGGGUUGUAAACCGCUUUCGCCUGUGACGAAGCGUGAGUGACGGUAAUGGGUAAAGAAGCACCGGCUAACUACGUG